CAGCGCCGGGUGCGUAACGCGUGCGAAUCUGCCCUUGGGUUCGGAAUAACGGUGGGAAACUACCGCUAAUACCGGAUGAUGACGUAAGUCCAAAGAUUUAUCGCCCAGGGAUGAGCCCGCGUAGGAUUAGCUAGUUGGUGGGGUAAAGGCCUACCAAGGCGACGAUCCUUAGCUGGUCUGAGAGGAUGAUCAGCCACACUGGGACUGAGACACGGCCCAGACUCCUACGGGAGGCAGCAGUGGGGAAUAUUGGACAAUGGGCGAAAGCCUGAUCCAGCAAUGCCGCGUGAGUGAUGAAGGCCCUAGGGUUGUAAAGCUCUUUUACCCGGGAAGAUAAUGACUGUACCGGGAGAAUAAGCCCCGGCUAACUCCGUGCCAGCAGCCGCGGUAAU
rnacentral:rRNA from 1 species